AUACCAGCGGCCCUAGUGGUGAUCGUUAUUAUUGGGCCUAAAGCGUCCGUAGCCGGUCCGGUAAAUCUCUGGGUAAAUCGUUGGGCUUAACUCAGCGAAUUCUGGGGAGACUGCUGGACUUGGGACCGAGAGAGGUCGGAGGUACUCCAGGGGUAGGGGUGAAAUCCUGUAAUCCUUGGGGGACCACCGGUGGCGAAGGCGUCCGACCAGAACGGGUCCGACGGUAAGGGACGAAGCCCUGGGGCGCGAACCGAAUUAGAAACCCGGGUAGUCC
rnacentral:rRNA from 1 species